rnacentral:rRNA from 1 species
UACGGAGGAUGCAAGCGUUAUCCGGAUUUAUUGGGUUUAAAGGGUGCGUAGGCGGGAAAAUAAGUCAGUGGUGAAAUCCUACAGCUUAACUGUAGAAUUGCCGUUGAUACUGUUUUUCUUGAGUAUGGUCAGGGAAGGCGGAAUGUGUAAUGUAGCGGUGAAAUGCUUAGAUAUUACACAGAACACCAAUUGCGAAGGCAGCUUUCUGGCCCAUUACUGACGCUGAGGCACGAAAGCGUGGGGAUCGAACAGGAUUAGAUACCCUGGUA